AGUGAACGCUGGCGGUAGGCCUAACACAUGCAAGUCGAACGGCAGCACAGUAAGAGCUUGCUCUUACGGGUGGCGAGUGGCGGACGGGUGAGGAAUACAUCGGAAUCUACUUUUUCGUGGGGGAUAACGUAGGGAAACUUACGCUAAUACCACAUACGACCUACGGGUGAAAGCAGGGGAUCUUCGGACCUUGCGCGAUUGAAUGAGCCGAUGUCGGAUUAGCUAGUUGGCGGGGUAAAGGCCCACCAAGGCGACGAUCCGUAGCUGGUCUGAGAGGAUGAUCAGCCACACUGGAACUGAGACACGGUACAGACUCCUACGGGAGGCAGCAGUGGGGAAUAUUGGACAAUGGGCGCAAGCCUGAUCCAGCCAUACCGCGUGGGUGAAGAAGGCCUUCGGGUUGUAAAGCCCUUUUGUUGGGAAAGAAAAGCAGCAGGUUAAUACCCCGCUGUUCUGACGGUACCCAAAGAAUAAGCACCGGCUAACUUCGUG
rnacentral:rRNA from 1 species